AGAAAGCUGAGUGGCUCUUCGGUGAUUAUCUUGGUGGGAGCUGAGCAGUCUUGAGGGAAGAGCUCUAGGAGUGGCCAAGCCUAAAGAGAUCGUUUGAGCUGAACUUUAUAUUAUUGUUUUCUCUGUUCAUAAAGCCAAACAGCUGGAAGGGAUGGAGACUUGAGGAGCAAACAUUAGAGUCAGAAAUUCUGCUAGAGGUUAUCAUGAGGAUAACUCAUUCGACACUGCACUUGGUCAAGACCAACAGCGAGCAGCUGGAGAGCUCUGCAGCUAAUACGUUAUCCUUUUUCACGGUAGAUGACCUCGAUGGGAACUGGAUCAGGUCCAUAAAGAGCACUUAAUAAGAGAGAAAAUCCUCCGUCACUAACUUGAUAAGUAGUGGUACACUGAUUAGCUCAGUGGCUCUAAAAGGGUCAAGGGCUAUUUAAUUCCACCCAUCCCAUUACUCCAGGAGCCAAAAUAUGAUGGAAAACCAACCAUGCUCUUUGUUUUUGCCUUUGAAGCAUGUGUAAUUUGCAGAGUUUGUUUUUUUCAGUGUGUGCAGGGGUCAUAGCACAUGGUAGAGCAAGGGACUGGGGAUUUCUGGGUUCUAUUUCCCACAAUUAAUUGUGUACUCGCAUUUGGAAGGUGGGUUGCAACCUUUUAAAAUGUUCGGACCAAUGUACUCUAUUCUAACAAAAGCAUGGUGUUUAUAUACUACAUUCUCUAUACCCCUUUAAGCACCGUAUUUCCCUACAGCUGUUACUGCUACUAAGAGAGCCUGCAACUGAACCCCUUUGUUGGAAAACAUCCUGCACUUGAUUUCAGCAACCUCCUUUGUAAGCUUUGUUUGUAAAGGUGAAUUGCCAUAUUGUCAACUGUUAACAUGACCCUCACAGGUGAAGAGAUCCAACUGAAUUGAUAAUUUACUGAGCUUUGUGCAUCACACGCAAUUACAUUUUCCUCACACAUCCCCAAAACCCCUGGUCUGAAAUGCAUUGCUUUAUUAUUACAGCAGUAGUUUGUUAAGAUCUUUGGUCCAUUUAAUGUGAUUAGGUAGCAGCCGUCAAUCCAGAAUGGGUGUGGCCUGUUGAACAUGUGUCCCUUUCUCCUCUAAACCUCUUGGAUCCGCUUUCCUAGCACUUCAAGAUUUAAGGUGUAGAGGGCCUGAGCAUUUGUCACUUCUGUUGAUUUCACUUCUGAAAACUAGGUUCAUAGAGUCUUUCGUAGAGUCUGGAGUGCGCCCAGUCAGUGCUGAAAACAUUUUUAAAAACAAUAGAAAAUGGGAAUCUAAUUUGAGGCUCUGGCACAUGAAACAUCAGGGAUUUAAUAUUUAGGGUGUUCAACAAUGCACGGGUGUAUAGUGAAAUUUUUAAUGGCCCUGACAUUGAUAUGCUAAUUGUACCUCCAGGCCACCACAUUUAUAUAAAAGAAGGGACAAUACAUGUUGCUCUGUUUUUAAAUGUAAACCUCAUUGACCAUUGCAUUUCGCCAGCCUGAAAGUAGGACAAACUCCUCUCUGUUACCAUCAGCGGCUUGUAAUAUCUCAACUGCUGUGAGAUAAAUGAGAAAAUAGGUCACUUUUUUACUCUUCUAUGAUGAUACAAAUAGCGUAAAAUCCAUAGUCUCCUGACAGCUGUGUCAUAACACAAAGCUAUGCACUCUCUCACCCUGGGGCUGUAUGAUAUACUGCACCUGUACCCACACACACAGAAAAGAUGGGGCAGUUCUGUCAGCUUGUGAUCUGGAAAUGAUCUGCCCUGACCCCCUAGGUAUCCAGUAGUCCUCGGCACAUAGUGGCCACUGAUUUAUAACCCUGAUUUUUCAGGUGCUAUGAGAGGUAAAUAUUAAUUAUUAUGUCUGUUGUGCUAUAUGCUCUGUAGGUUCCUGAAAUCCCAUGGAGGGGGGUGGGAAUUGAGGGAAGAGGAACUUCCAGUCCCAUGAUCCUCUCCUAACCCACGACUCAUGGGCCCUAAGAACAUGACCAAUGUAAU